rnacentral:rRNA from 1 species
UAACCUGCCCAAGAGAUCGGGAUAACACCUGGAAACAGAUGCUAAUACCGGAUAACAACAGAUGAUGCCUAUCAACUGUUUAAAAGAUGGUUCUGCUAUCACUCUUGGAUGGACCUGCGGUGCAUUAGCUAGUUGGUAGGGUAACGGCCUACCAAGGCGAUGAUGCAUAGCCGAGUUGAGAGACUGAUCGGCCACAUUGGGACUGAUACACGGCCCAAACUCCUACGGGAGGCAGCAGCA